AACGUAGGUCCCGAGCGUUAUCCGGAUUUACUAGGCGUAAAGCGUGUUCAGGCGGUCUAGCAAGUCGGGCAUGAAAUCUCUCGGCUCAACCGGGAGGGGUUGUCCGAUACUGCUGGGCUUGAGGGCAGCAGAGGGUGGUGGAAUUCCGGGUGUAGAGGUGAAAUUCGUAGAUAUUCGCAAGAACACCAGUGGCGAAGGCGGCUCACUGGCCCGGUACUGACGCUGAGGCGCGAAAGCGUGGGGAGCAAACAGG
rnacentral:rRNA from 1 species